rnacentral:pre_miRNA from 1 species
UAUUAUGGAUGAGCAAAGGAAGUGAUUUCUGAGAUGGAAACUACUCCUGAUGAAAAUGCUAUGAA